rnacentral:rRNA from 1 species
UACGAAGGGGGCUAGCGUUGCUCGGAAUCACUGGGCGUAAAGCGCACGUAGGCGGCUUUUUAAGUCAGGGGUGAAAUCCUGGAGCUCAACUCCAGAACUGCCUUUGAUACUGAGAAGCUUGAGUCCGGGAGAGGUGAGUGGAACUGCGAGUGUAGAGGUGAAAUUCGUAGAUAUUCGCAAGAACACCAGUGGCGAAGGCGGCUCACCUGGCCCGGUACU